rnacentral:pre_miRNA from 1 species
AAUAAAUCAAUUUUUCACUUUUUAUCUUUAAUUUUUGAUUCUUCGUCUUAUUCAAUUUUUUUAUUGAUAUUUUUGUUUUUAUUAGAUGAUAAAUUAUAAAUAGUACUUUACGUGUGACUAAAUUUUUUUAAUUUUCUAAAAAUUUUUCAAAUAAGACGGAUGGUCAAACGUCGAACAUGGAAAGCGAAGAAUUCAUUUUUU